AGUAAAAUGCCUGAAAUUAAAGGAUUAUCUUGAUAGGAUAAAUUAUGUAAGUAUAUACUUUUACUA
rnacentral:tRNA from 1 species